rnacentral:misc_RNA from 1 species
UUGAAAUAAACCUGAUGGGUUGUUGCUGGUUCUCUAGGGAGCAUGUGCACGCCUUGUCAUCUUUAUAUCUCCACCUGUGCACCUUCUGUAGGCCCUGGAAUAUCUCUUCCACGGGUCUAUGUUUCUUCAUAUACCCCAAUGUAUGUUAACAGAACGUUUGUGAUAUAUAAAAUCUAUA